rnacentral:lncRNA from 1 species
UCAGACUAUAUUUCAUCAAAUGGGAAAAAAUCAUUUUCAAGCAUAGUGUUCUCUCGCAUCUAAUGGAAAAGAAAAUCCAGGUUAUACCCUUAGAUAAAUACACGGCCUCGAAAUAAAAUAAAUAGCAACACUCCAUGGCAGUUACAGGUAAGAAAAAUAGAUGUAAGUUUUUUAAACAAUUGAUUACUGAAUAUCCCCUGAAGAAAAAAAGAAAACAUACUUUGAUUGCUCUUAAUCCUCGUCUCCUGCCCAGGCUUUGCUUUUCAUGCUUUAGUUAUUGCACCCUGACCAGCACACAAACCUUAGCUUGAUAAAAGUAAUCUAGCAAAGAAGGCACCAAUCAAUCAAAUGUGUACCUAGUAGGCAGCUCAACUUUCUAGUAGUACUCAAUUCCCCAUUUCUGCUCAACAGUAAGAACAUAAUGGCGCUGAGAGAGAUGAGGAAGGGGCUAGUGCGGAGAGGCCCCAUCAUCGAGCUACAGCAGCCACCGCUUCCUCCUUGUCCCAUGGCCUGCCGCUGUCAACAAGACGCAG